GCAGGGGAGGGUGAUCUGGCUGUGACAUUUGUCACUGCAUUGAUUUCCAGGGUUCAUUCAGCUAAUCUGGCUGGUGGGUGUCCCUCCCUCACCCCUCCAUGUGCAUUCCUCCUGAAGCUGCGCACUCAGUCAAAGAGGAUGACCAUCCCAGAUAGAAGGAGUGUACCAUUCUUCCAUAAAUGUGAGGAUUUUUUGCUAGCUUCCUAAAAUCUUAACAAUUAUUUGUAGGCAACAUUCACUGAAUUUCUGUUUUGUAA